rnacentral:rRNA from 1 species
AGAGUUUGAUCCUGGCUCAGGAUGAACGCUGGCGGCGUGCCUAACACAUGCAAGUCGAACGGGAAACCUUUUAUUGAAGCUUCGGCAGAUUUAGAUUGUUUCUAGUGGCGGACGGGUGAGUAACGCGUGGGUAACCUGCCUUAUACAGGGGGAUAACAGUCAGAAAUGACUGCUAAUACCGCAUAAGCGCACAGAGCUGCAUGGCUCGGUGUGAAAAACUCCGGUGGUAUAAGAUGGACCCGCGUUGGAUUAGCUAGUUGGUGAGGUAACGGCCCACCAAGGCGACGAUCCAUAGCCGGCCUGAGAGGGUGAACGGCCACAUUGGGACUGAGACACGGCCCAGACUCCUACGGGAGGCAGCAGUGGGGAAUAUUGCACAAUGGGGGAAACCCUGAUGCAGCGACGCCGCGUGAAGGAAGAAGUAUCUCGGUAUGUAAACUUCUAUCAGCAGGGAAGAAAAUGACGGUACCUGACUAAGAAGCCCCGGCUAACUACGUGCCAGCAGCCGCGGUAAUACGUAGGGGGCAAGCGUUAUCCGGAUUUACUGGGUGUAAAGGGAGCGUAGACGGAUGGACAAGUCUGAUGUGAAAGACUGGGGCUCAACCCCGGGACUGCAUUGGAAACUGCCCGUCUUGAGUGCCGGAGAGGUAAGCGGAAUUCCUAGUGUAGCGGUGAAAUGCGUAGAUAUUAGGAAGAACACCAGUGGCGAAGGCGGCUUGCUGGACAGUAACUGACGUUCAGGCUCGAAAGCGUGGGGAGCAAACAGGAUUAGUUACCCUGGUAGUCCACGCCGUAAACGAU